rnacentral:rRNA from 1 species
UACGGGGGGGGCAAGCGUUGUUCGGAAUUACUGGGCGUAAAGGGCUCGUAGGCGGCCGACUAAGUCAGACGUGAAAUCCCUCGGCUCAACCGGGGAACUGCGUCUGAUACUGAUUGGCUUGAGUUCGGGAGAGGGAUGCGGAAUUCCAGGUGUAGCGGUGAAAUGCGUAGAUAUCUGGAGGAACACCGGUGGCGAAGGCGGCAUCCUGGACCGACACUGACGCUGAGGAGCGAAAGCCAGGGGAGCAAACGGG